rnacentral:rRNA from 1 species
CAGCAGCCGCGGGAAUACGGAGGGUGCAAGCGUUAAUCGGAAUUACUGGGCGUAAAGCGCACGCAGGCGGUCUGACAAGUCAGAUGUGAAAUCCCCGGGCUUAACCUGGGAACUGCAUUUGAAACUGUCAGGCUGGAGUCUUGUAGAGGGGGGUGGAAUUCCAGGUGUAGCGGUGAAAUGCGUAGAGAUCUGGAGGAAUACCGGUGGCGAAGGCGGCCCCCUGGACAAAGACUGACGCUCAGGUGCGAAAGCGUGGGGAGCAAACAGGAUUAGAUACCCCAGUAGUCCCUGUCUCUUAUAU